UACGUAGGGUGCAAGCGUUGUCCGGAAUUAUUGGGCGUAAAGAGCUCGUAGGCGGUCUGUCGCGUCUGCUGUGAAAACUCAGGGCUUAACCCUGAGCUUGCAGUGGGUACGGGCAGACUAGAGUGCGGUAGGGGAGACUGGAAUUCCUGGUGUAGCGGUGAAAUGCGCAGAUAUCAGGAGGAACACCGGUGGCGAAGGCGGGUCUCUGGGCCGUAACUGACGCUGGAGGAGCGGAAAGCAUCGGGGAGCGAACAGG
rnacentral:rRNA from 1 species